CUUGCUUCUCUGGAUGAGUUGCGAACGGGUGAGUAACGCGUAGGUAACCUGCCUGGUAGUGGGGGAUAACUAUUGGAAACGAUAGCUAAUACCGCAUAACAGUAGAUAUUGCAUGAUAUCUGCUUGAAAGGUGCAAUUGCAUCACUACCAGAUGGACCUGCGUUGUAUUAGCUAGUUGGUGAGGUAACGGCUCACCAAGGCGACGAUACAUAGCCGACCUGAGAGGGUGAUCGGCCACACUGGGACUGAGACACGGCCCAGACUCCUACGGGAGGCAGCAGUAGGGAAUCUUCGGCAAUGGACGGAAGUCUGACCGAGCAACGCCGCGUGAGUGAAGAAGGUUUUCGGAUCGUAAAGCUCUGUUGUAAGAGAAGAACGAGUGUGAGAGUGGAAAGUUCACACUGUGACGGUAUCUUACCAGAAAGGGACGGCUAACUACGUGCCAGCAGCCGCGGUAAUACGUAGGUCCCAAGCGUUGUCCGGAUUUAUUGGGCGUAAGGCGAGCGCAGGCGGUUAGAUAAGUCUGAAGUUAAAGGCUGUGGCUUAACCAUAGUACGCUU
rnacentral:rRNA from 1 species